CCUGACUGCUAUCGGAUUGAUACUAAGCCAUGCGAGUCAUCGUAGCAAUACAAGGCAUACGGCUCAGUAACGCGUAGUCAACCUAACCUAUAGACGGGAAUAACCUCGGGAAACUGAGAAUAAUGCCCGAUAGAACACUAUACCUGGAAUGGUUUGUGUUCCAAAUGAUUUAUCGCCAUAGGAUGGGACUGCGGCCUAUCAGUUUGUUGGUGAGGUAAUGGCCCACCAAGACUAUUACAGGUACGGGCUCUGAGAGGAGUAGCCCGGAGAUGGGUACUGAGACACGGACCCAGGCCCUAUGGGGCGCAGCAGGCGAGAAAACUUUGCAAUGUGCGAAAGCACGACAAGGUUAAUCCGAGUGAUUUGUGCUAAACGAAUCUUUUGUUAGUCCUAGAAACACUAACGAAUAAGGGGUGGGCAAGUUCUGGUGUCAGCCGCCGCGGUAAAACCAGCACCUCAAGUGGUCAGGAUGAUUAUUGGGCCUAAAGCAUCCGUAGCCGGCUCUGUAAGUUUUCGGUUAAAUCUGUACGCUUAACGUACAGGCUGCCGGGAAUACUGCAGAGCUAGGGAGUGGGAGAGGUAGACGGUACUCGGUAGGAAGUGGUAAAAUGCUUUGAUCUAUCGAUGACCACCAGUGGCGAAGGCGGUCUACCAGAACACGUCCGACGGUGAGGGAUGAAAGCUGGGGGAGCAAACCGGAUUAGAUACCCGGGUAGUCCCAGCUGUAAACUAUGCAAACUCAGUGAUGCAUUGGCUUGUGGCCAAUGCAGUGCUGCAGGGAAGCCGUUAAGUUUGCCGCCUGGGAAGUACGUACGCAAGUACGAAACUUAAAGGAAUUGGCGGGGGAGCACCACAAGGGGUGAAGCCUGCGGUUC
rnacentral:rRNA from 1 species